rnacentral:rRNA from 1 species
UGCUGACGAGUGGCGAACGGGUGAGUAAUACAUCGGAACGUGCCCGAUCGUGGGGGAUAACGAAGCGAAAGCUUUGCUAAUACCGCAUACGAUCUACGGAUGAAAGCAGGGGACCGCAAGGCCUUGCGCGAACGGAGUGGCCGAUGGCAGAUUAGGUAGUUGGUGGGAUAAAAGCUUACCAAGCCGACGAUCUGUAGCUGGUCUGAGAGGACGACCAGCCACACUGGGACUGAGACACGGCCCAGACUCC